GCAGUUGUGCAAGAUAGAUUCAAAAGGCAAAGCAAGAAAGGUUGUUGGAUGCUCAUGCCUUGUUGUGAAGGAUUAUAGAGAGGAAAGUGAAGGUCUACAAAUUGUCCAGGAGUAUGUCAAGUCUCACUAGAUAUGUAACAAGUGAUCAAAGUAUUUCAUGUGUGACUGUUUAUCAACUCUUUUUACUUGGAUGAACAUUUCUUGUAGCAAAUUUUGGAUCAUUAAAACGAAUUCUCUCUUUAUAUUUUA